rnacentral:rRNA from 1 species
AACGCUAGCUACAGGCUUAACACAUGCAAGUCGAGGGGCAUCAGGAACAAAGCUUGCUUUGUUUGCUGGCGACCGGCGCACGGGUGAGUAACGCGUAUCCGACCUACCCAUAACACGGGCACAGCCGCUCGAAAGAGUGAUUGAUUCCCGAUAUGUCUUUAGAGUAGCUCUAAUGAUGAAAGAUUUAUCGGUUAUGGAUGGGGAUGCGUAAGAUUAGGUAGUAGGCGGGGUAACGGCCCACCUAGCCGACGAUCUUUAGGGGUUCUGAGAGGAAGGUCCCCCACACUGGUACUGAGACACGGACCAGACUCCUACGGGAGGCAGCAGUGAGGAAUAUUGGUCAAUGGGCGGAAGCCUGAACCAGCCAAGUAGCGUGAAGGAUUACAGCCCUACGGGUUUUAAACUUCUUUUAUAUGAGAGUAAUGUGCACUACGUGUAGUGUAUUGCAAGUAUCAUAUGAAUAAGCAUCGGCUAACUCCGUGCCAGCAGCCGCGGUAAUACGGAGGAUGCGAGCGUUAUCCGGAUUUAUUGGGUUUAAAGGGAGCGUAGGCGGGAUAUUAAGUCAGUCGUCAAAGCCUGUGGCUCAACCACAGCCCGCGAUUGAUACUGGUAACCUUGAGUGCGGAUGAGGUGGAUGGAAUUCGUGGUGUAGCGGUGAAAUGCUUAGAUAUCACGAAGAACUCCGAUUG